rnacentral:rRNA from 1 species
AGUGAACGCUGGCGGUAGGCCUAACACAUGCAAGUCGAACGGCAGCACAGUAAGAGCUUGCUCUUACGGGUGGCGGGUGGCGGACGGGUGAGGAAUACAUCGGAAUCUACUUUUUCGUGGGGGAUAACGUAGGGAAACUUACGCUAAUACCGCACACGACCUACGGGUGAAAGCAGGGGAUCUUCGGACCUUGCGCGAUUGAAUGAGCCGAUGUCGGAUUAGCUAGUUGGCGGGGUAAAGGCCCACCAAGGCGACGAUCCGUAGCUGGUCUGAGAGGAUGAUCAGCCACACUGGAACUGAGACACGGUCCAGACUCCUACGGGAGGCAGCAGUGGGGAAUAUUGGACAAUGGGCGCAAGCCUGAUCCAGCCAUACCGCGUGGGUGAAGAAGGCCUUCGGGUUGUAAAGCCCUUUUGUUGGGAAAGAAAAGCAGCAGGUUAAUACCCCGCUGUUCUGACGGUACCCAAAGAAUAAGCACCGGCUAACUUCGUG